rnacentral:misc_RNA from 1 species
AACGCAUAUUGCGCUCUUUGGUAUUCCGAAGAGCAUGCUUGUUUGAGUAUCAGUAAACACCUCAAAUCUUUUUUUUUUUUUUUAAAAAAAAAGUUUUGGACUUGAGCAAUCCCAACACCAAUCUUUUUUAGAUCGGUGGCGGGUUGCUUGAAAUGCAGGUGCAGCUGGACAUUCUCCUGAGCUAAAAGCAUAUUUAUUUAGUCCCGUCAAACGGAUUAUUACUUUUGCUGCAGCUAAUAUAAAGGGAGUUUGACCGUAUUGGCUGACUGAUGCAGGAUUUCACAAGGGUCGGCAACGAUUCUUGUAAAACUCGAUCUCAAAUCAAGUAAGACUACCCGCUGAACUUAA